UACUCCUUCAAAACGGUAACACAUCCCUUUCUGGGCUCCCACCAGAGCGUUUUCCGCGAGGAGGUCGUGCGGAGUUACAAAGAGCUCCUUUUUCACAGAACCGUGAGAGCGCUCCGCUACGAUGGAAAGAAAAGGGUUUUUUCUCCGGGCGGCCGACGACGACGACGACAGCAACGGUGAACAGGACCUUGGACGGAAAUAUGAAUUUUCCUCGGUGCUGACUGGCAGGAUUGGGCGAUAAUCGUGGACUUUCAGCGAGCCGCGAGGCAGAACUAUCGGAAAUCGAUAACCUCAUCGCAGCAAAAUGUGGAUUAUUAGGUUUUUGCGGAACACCUGGAUUUGGUAAGAUCUAUGCCUCAUAUGUUCUGCACAGAGUGUAGUUCUCCUUAUAGUGAUUGGAACACCUUUUUCACCUGAUGGCCGUCCCGAACGGAGACAUGAAAAAACCUAUCCUUUCCCAAACCAUUUUCUUGAAGCACUCUGAUAGAAAUAUCUUUAGCUCCCUGCAAAAUAUGACACCAAAAUUCGUUUUCGCACGUAAUCGCGUAUACAUAGCCACAGCGUAGUAGUACUCAUUUGCGGGAACCCGUAGAUCCGAACUUGUGCUGCCGUUUCACAUGUUACAAGAACGGAUGUAUGGGAUUCUGCCGAUGUAUGGCAAAGCAUCGAUCGAUGGCUCGGAAUCAAACCGAACCCUGCAAUUGUCGUCCUCUAUAUCUGCUGAAUGGUCUGUGAAAAAACCAAAGCUCCAGAUUUAGGCGAAAAGAGUCCGAUUUCCCACCCGUAGUUGCUGUGAACCGGAUAGUAGCAAGUCGAAAAUUUCACCAGGAAUGAGAGAAAAAUCAUCCCACAUACGUUUUAGUGCUACAUAAGUGUGAGUGCGUGUUUCAUCACGGUGGUGACGGGUACGAAAGAUACACCCCCUUGGGCUUAAGUGAAGUGUUCAAAAAUGCUUACAGGAUGAAAAAUGCACAGCUCCGCUGAACGCAACUUACCGCCUCAACACGAGGGAAAGCUGGAACAAUGCCAAAUCUAAUGGGUGAGAAAGAAAAAAAAAUGCAUCGAUCAAUCCUUUAGUGUCUAGUGGGCUAGAAAAAUAACCUCCAUUUGUUUUCCCGCACUCCUUUAGUCCUCCCGCUGUCGAUAUCAUUUUCAUUUAGACUAAGCAAAAGCGUUACCACAAAAAGCAAAAUAAAAUUUUCUAAAACAA